GAACGCACCUUGCGCUCUUUGGUAUUCCGAAGAGCAUGCCUGUUUGAGUGUCAUGAAAAUAUCAACCUUGACUUGGGUUUUGUGCUCUAGUCUUGGCUUGGAAUUGGGUGCUUGCCGCUUUUACGAGCGGCUCACCUUAAAUGUAUUAGCUGGAUCUGUCUUUGAGACUUGGUUUGACUUGGCGUAAUAAGUAUUUCGCUAAGGACAUUCUUCGGAGUGGCCUCGUUUCUAGGACGCUUGUCCGCUUCCCAAUACAAGUUCCACCUCGUGGACAUGACUUUUUAUUAUCUGGCCUCAAAUCAGGUAGGACUACCCGCUGAACUUA
rnacentral:misc_RNA from 1 species